GGAGAUUUGGAGGUGUUAGUUUAAGAUUGCUUUUAUAUUGUGUCUAUCCGUGUUUCCUAGGAGGGAGACAGAGUGUGUAGUUGUGUGCCCAUAAAUGUGAUUUCUGUAUUGGCAUAUCUGCUGGGUACCCAUUAUGUGUUUCUACAAAGAUAUUGUUUUAUGAGAUGACUAAUAUUACAUUGGAUGCUGAGUAUGAGUUAUAUGGUUUGAAAUGAAUUGGUGAUUAUGAGCUUAGUACUUCAGUAAGAUGUGCUAAAAUCUGGAACAAGGUGGAAGCUGAAAUGUUGGGAUUAUGGAAGAAUAAGCAGUCUAUUUUCACUGCUUUGGCAUAUAAGCAAGAUGCAAAGGAAGAGAUUGGUAAUAUGAUUUUUGUAAAGAAAUUUUACAAGUAUUGGAAGGAUGAGGCAGGUUUGAUGUCUGGAGAUGAUAUAGAUCUUUUUAAAAUACAGUCAUACCUUGGUAAUAUGUUGCCACAGUAUUCUUUGCUUGUGAAACAAUUGAUUUCAGACUGGGCCAAUUUGGAUAGCUCAGAUUUUCUUACCAAGGUUAUAGAAAAGGAAAAUGCAGGUUGUUUUGAAUUAAGAAAAGAUUUAGGAAAGUAAGGUUGCUUAUUAUGCUCAGGGAUUGCAACAUAUUAUGUCCAGCUACACAGGCUGAGAGCGAGGAUGGGAUGGAGCACAUAAAGCCCGUGGAAGGGGUGGUCAAAGAGGGGCAAGGGGAUGGAGACAGGGAAAUCAGGGUUAUAGGGGCAGGGGUAACCAAGGAGGAAUAGACAGGAACACUUGUUUCAACUGUGGCCAAUAUGGCCACUGGAGGAAUGAGUGUCCACACCCCAGGAAACCCCACACACCCCAACAACCCCACCAUUCUCAAAAUAUGCCCGGUAGGCAAGAACAACACCAGACCCACUCCCAACACCACUGGCCAGCAUAUCGCUUAGUUCAGGACUUUAGAGCCCUGAAUAGUUUAAUUGUGCCCAUUUCACCCAUUGUCCCUGAUGUGACAUCCCUCAUUACAGCCAUUCCACAUGAUGCCACUUGCUUCACUGUCAUUGAUUUAAGUAAUGCAUUUUUUCUAUACCUAUUGAUCAAGAGACACAGCUACUUAUGGUUUUUAUUUUUUGAAGGCUGUCAGUUUACCUGGACACGCUUACCCAAGGCUAUGUGGAUUCCCCAGCUGUUUAUUCGUUGGUACUCCAACAUACUCUAAACAACAUGGACCACCGGUCAUGGUUCCGUCCUUUUUGCAAAAUGUUGAUGAUUUGUUGUUAUGUAGCCCUAGCUAUGAGGCAAGCACUGUGGAUACUGUCAGCAACUGUAGGUCACAAGGUUGUUAAACACAAAAUGCAAUUGUGUAAAUCAAAGGUUGAAUACUUAGGUUUUGUUCUGGCUUUAGGCACCAGACAAUUGAGUCCAAAAUGUAUUGAGGUCAUUCAGAGGAUUCCAACACCCACUACUCGGAAGGAGUUGCUCACCUUCCUCGGCAUGAUUAAUUACUGCCACCAAUGGAUCCCUGAAUGCUCCCAUUAUGACUCAAUCCUAAGGGAGGCUGUACGUUCUGACAGCCCUGAAAAUGUCUGCUGGUCACCAGACAUGCUAGCUGCAUAUAUUGCCCUUACAGUUGUUAUUGUGCAAGCCCAGGCUUUAGGACUACCUGUGUAUUGUAAACCAUUUCAUUUGUAUGCUUGGGACAAUUGUAAAACCAUGGCCGCGGUCUGUGCACAAGAGCAAGGAGGCGGUAUGUGUCCCAUAGCAUUCUUUUCCAAAGUAGUUCGAGCUCCGGUAAAGGGUAUGCCGGCGUGUCUCAGAGCAUUGAUAGCAUGUGCAAUGGCUGUUGAAACUGCUACUACUAUCACACUAGGGCAUCAUACAAUACUUCAUGCCAGUCACCAGGUCACUCAGCUGACAAAUCUCACCACACAACACAUGACAGCCCAGCGCUUCAGUGGUUAUGAGAUUCUUUUUUUAAUACCCAGAAUCUGUUUUUGGAUUAAAUAAGGUUUAGAGAAAGAUCAGAAUGAUCUGUUCUCUAAAGAGGGGAGAAUAGGCAUACUUGAAGAAUAGGCAUACUUGAAGCAAGCUGAUUUAUUUUCAUCAGUCAGGCACAUAGCAAGCACCAUUCAAUUCCUCAUGAAUUCAUUUUAUAUUAGGAAUCUCAGGCAGCAUGUACAGUCUUUUGUAAGAUCGUGUGAACGCUGCUCUUUUUACACACUUACAGAUUGAUUUUAUUCAUGUAUCCAAAAUUGGUAAGAAACAGCAAUACUUACUGGUCAUAGUUAAUCAGUUUAGUAGAUGGCAUGAGGCCUUUGUGACAUCUAGGGAAGAUGCUAGUGAAGUUUAUUGUUACUGAAAUUAUUCCCAGGUAUGGCUGCCCUCUGCAGAUUGGCUCUGAUAAUGGCCCGGUUUUUGCCAGUAGGGUUGCCCAGGAACUUGCUAAAUUCUUGCAAGUUACCUGGCAGUUUCAUAUACCCUAUCAUCCACAGAAUACAGGGGUAGUUGAAAGGAUGAAUAGGACUAUUAAGGAAAAGCCCAGAAUUUACCCAGGAACAUGGGUAAAUUGGACUAGAUAUCUACCAGCUAUUUUAGCUGAGAUAAGAGUGAUUCCUCACAAGGUGACUAAAUUAUCUCCAUCUGAGAUUUUUGAUGGGAUGACCUUUUCCCACACCCUGGGCCAGGGAACCGCUUGUUAUAAUGUCUGGGGAUUUACAGCUAAUACAAGAACAAUAUGUACAGGAAUUGUUGAUAAAACCGAAUGGUAUGUAUGACAAUGUUUCUUCGCAGUUUUCCCUUACCUUCACAGGAACCUACUCAUUCAUACCAGCCCGGUGACAAGGUGUAUAUCCGUCAGCUGAACAGGACCAAGAAAGGAGGAUACCCUUUUGGACCACCUGCUACUGUGAUUGCUGUACCCAGAACCGCUGUCCUCACAGAUUCCCACGACAUCUGGAUUCACGCAUCCCGAGUGAAGCUGUGUCCAAAGAGGGGAACCAAGGAAGACAACACCACUCCUCGCUCGGAAACAGAAGAAUUUCUCCUCAGCGAAGCAUCAUGGCUUUUACACCAUAUCGUAGAUUGAGAGGAUCAUACGUACCUGAGACCAAGAUUAUGUUGUGUGCUAUGCUUUCUGGAGUUGUUAUACUCCCUCUGAUAUUGUUCCUUGAAUGCCAUUAUGAGUACAAGUCAAUGGCAAGUUCUGGAAAAAGACUCUGACAUGAUGAACAAUUCUUCAAUACCCCCAGCCCAAUUAGGCCUUAGCUCCUCAUCUAGCAUUCGUCACACACACCCCCUCAAGAACCUUUCUCCACCACCUUUCUAUCAGCAUGUAAUAUGCAAUCAUUCAUUGACUGAACGCAUUUGGAUGAAUUGGACAAAUAGUAACCCUUAUAAGUACCAGUUACCCAUAUGGAAUGUGUCCACAGCUAAUGAAACCGAUGCAUUAUGUUUGUUUGAAGGUUCACAGAAAAUUGUUAGAUCUUAUAACGCAGAAAUGUGCACAGUUAAGGUUGCAUAUCAAUGUAAACAGACAGGCCUUAUUACUUUUAAUAAUGAUUAUAUAACUGGUAUCAUUAAUUGGAGAAGGGGACAAAUGUUAGUCAUUAUGAACGACACUACAAUUGAGAACUAUACACUACCUUAUAUUUUUACACCUUAUUACUGUCCUUUAUCCUCUACCAUAGAACCAAAAGUCAACAACGACACACACACACCUAUUCCGUCCACAUGUAUUAAUACAACUGCCUUCUUACAAGCUGUACAUGUGUCAUUAAAAGUCACUACUCUUGUUGUAACAUUAUGUAAUACAACAAACAAAGGCAGAAAAGGGAAUGGUAUGACACACUGUUAGGAGGUGCUGGAACCACUAUGGGUAUACUAAAUAGUUAUAGAUAUGGAGACCCUCAAGAAUAAGUUAAACACAGCCAGCAUGCAUAUAGGGACUGGUUUCCAUGCUACUGCAAACUGGGCUCCAAUUGUUGUUAAAUCACAGGUUAUAGGAUUGGAUUUAGAUAAAUCAAUGUAUAAUUAUUUAGAUAAUUUAACUGUUGCAACUAUGAAAUUCACUACAGGUCUAAGUAACUGGAGUACUUGUGCCAUCAGGUAUUUAUGGAUACAACAACAAGGAUUGGCAUUAGAAAACACACUAAUGAUUUCUAAACUAGAGAAGAUUAGAGGAAUGUGUAACCUCACAGAUAAUGAAUGGUUACUUCUAAAACCCCAAUCCAGUAAAUGCAAUGGAUGGUUAACUGGUAAUGUUUCACAUUUUUCAUGCUCUUGCUAUUUUACAUUAUAUCAUACAUCAUCAAAGGAUAUUAAAUUAGCUUGUCAAUUUAACACAUUGCCAGUACCAGUUUAUGAUCUUUUUGCCAAGAAUUUAACCUGGUGGGCACCCACAUACACAGGGGACUAUAUUUUCCCCAAAGAUAACACACACAGGUAGCCACACAUAUCCUAAAAGGAGAACUCCUUAAGGUGAGUUCACAAAUUCAGAAUGAUUUAGCCCAUCAUUGGUACGAUGCUUUACUGGUUGGUCCCCUACUGGAUCCCAGAUAAUGAAAUCAUUCUUCUAUCCUUUUGUUAUUAUAGUCCUGAUUUUAUUGUGUAUGAUUUUAUAUAACUGUCACCUUACUUGUACAUUGAGGAAGAGAGUACAGAAAUGAAUCCAUAAUGCAGAACAGAAACAAUUAGAAAUUCUCCUCUCUGCCACUGGAGGGUAUCAACCCAUUUUUAAACUAGGCCUUAGGAAUUACCACAUGGGAAUCGAGGUGAAGAAAUUAAUGAAAGUCCUGCAGGGAGUGACUAGCACCCCUGAAAAUACCAUGUGGAAGUUUCUCUGUCCUGGUAAGAUUUUAUCGAUAAGAUGAGCAAUUGUUUUAUUGCUCAAAGAGGGGAAUGUAAGAAUAUUAAAUAGUUAACUUGUUUAUAUGUAUUUUAUGCUUUUAUAAGGUUUAUAACAUGAUUAUUGCUGACUGAAGGAAUAUUGAAUACUUAAACUCAAUAUACGACAUAAUGCUGACUGUGACAGACUAAGGUAUUUCUUCUAUAGGAUGUAAGACAAUGCUAAAUUUCAGGAUGUCUU
rnacentral:lncRNA from 1 species